UUUGAAAACAAUAAUGAAUGAUGGUUUUUGUUUGACAACUUAACUUUCUUACUACUCCAGCUAGUAAGCAAUGCAAAACCUUCUACUUUUCCACAUAAAGAGCUAAAUGCAAGAUAUUGUUUUCACCAUCUUAUCGUGUGAAAUCAUUUAAGUGUAAUUGUUCCACAGUGAUGGCCGACGAAGAACGAAUUAAGGAAUGGGCAGAAUGGUUGAAAGUUAAGUCUGUGUUUGUAGAUCUGGAAUGGCUGGAAGCUUGUGUUAGAUGGAUAUUGUCGCGUGAGUCUAUAAACUCCGAAAUGGAACUAAAAAAUGCCAUUUAUGAACAAUGGUUAAUGUCUGAUUUAAUGGAAAGUGGGAGCAGUACUUUACCACAGUCUGUGGCAAGUAUUCCUAAGAUGCUGACAAGGUCAACAAUUGUACUUCAGGUGAAUUCAAUUGUAAAUAUUGCUGAAUCAGCAUAUAGUCAAUUAAAGAAACUAAAAAAUGAAGACAAUGAUCUUGAUGACAAUGUUAACAAGAAUAAGACACAAGUGUCGCCAUCCAGUCGUAUGUUAAAGUUAGAUUUAACGGAUGGUCAUCAGUUUAUUGAGGGUAUGGAAGUUUCACCUAUAAAGAAGUUAAGUUCUGAUACUUUACCAGGAACCAAGAUCUUGAUUAAACCUAAUACUCUAUGUCGAUCUGGCAUGUUGUUUUUGACUGGGAAUAACAUUGAGAUAUUGGGAGGUCAUGUUCCAUGGUUUUUGGAAGAAAAAUCUAGAAUGAAUAUGCUUAACAAACUUGUUAUGAAAACCAAGAACUCUACUACUAACGAUGAUGAAUUAUCUGGUGAACAACAUGAAAGCAAUUUCCAAGUGGAAACAUCCAACAACAGUUCUGGUGAUAAUUUUGAGGUUGACAAAUGGCUGGAUGAUAACGAAGAUGAAAAUCUGUUGGUGAAUCUUGAAGAUGACUUUGAAAAUCAAUCUGUUCCAACGGUUGUAAUACUAGAUGACGACAUUCCACAUGAUGUAGUCAUAGAAAAGGAGUUUGAAAUUGAUGAUGAUAUUCCUAACGAUGUUCUAAAUGACCUGGAUGGUUAUGAAUGUUAGUUUGAUGAUCUGGUAACAAUGGAGAUCAUUUGAAGAGAAGUGGAAUCAUGGACAGCGUUUUAGGUAAAGUUGGGCGGUAUUGAAAUGUUGGGAACAUUUACAGCACCUUAACAUACCACAGUAUACCAAUAUAUAACGUUUAGAUCUUGUAUGGAAAUGUGUGAUCUACUGAAACUGCUGUUUUUACUCAAUAAUCCAAGGCAAAUUCAAUAUUAUUUUAUUAACGAUCAUUAUUUCCGUAAGAUUCAAAUUAUGUCAUGUUUUACAGAGACAGUAACGUUUCCAACUAGCAACAGCUACGUAUUAAUCAUACAACUAGCUACUUCUGAUUUUGUCAGCUCAAGAUGCGAUUUUGCAAAACACUACUUCAGCUAUGCUGUAAAAAUGCACUAUCUGUUUUGAUUGGUAAACCUUUUCAGUUUAAACUCAAAGAAAAACUAGUGAAAGCCAUAGUACCUUUAUUAUGUUAGGUUAUUUACGAAAUCAAAACCAUUUCUGAAAUUCACAUGUUUUACUCAAAAAGUUCCAUGAACUGUACAUUAUUUAUCAAAAAGAGGUUAUACAUUGUAUUGUAAUAUUUAGGGUAAUAUUAUAAUAAAAAAGAUGUCAGCAAAUGAUUCAGCCAUUAUGUACUCAACAAUCAAGGCAGGCUGCCAGUUAAAUACUACAUGAAGCAGUAAAGAAGCCUUCAGUCAUUAUCUCUUCAAGGUCAAGAUUUUAUGGCAUACAAUUCUACAUAUGUACUGACUAAACAUACACGUUUAGUGAAUACUAAUUCAUAAUGUCAGUAAGUAUGAAUCAAUCAACAUUUCUCAAUUUACCUGACAGUAAAACUACUGUUAGGUUCCUAAACAUCAAGUUAAUGUUGAUAACUAGCUGCUAUUUUUAAUCCUCCCAAGAUGAAUAGAUGAAAACAACUGAAUUUAACAACUGAA